AAAGGUUCCACUUGAAAAUGUAGACAAUAAAAAUGUAGGGCAAUCACUGGCAGUCUAAUUCAGUUGUUUCAUUAAUAAAAAAAAAAAAAAACCAAAAACUAUUAUAACAGAUUGUAUCCUGGCCGUCAUGUAUACUAUACAAAAAAAAUAAAAAAAAAAAAAAAAAAAAACCCAAACAAUAUUAUAACAGGAUUUGAUCCUGGCCCUCAUGUAUACUAUACAAUUCCACCACUAGACUAUCAUGACUCACAGUGUUAGGAAGAAGUGGCAGAAAUGUCACUGGUGCCCCCUCAAAAAACUAGGUGCUUGACCCUGCUGCCUUUAAGAGUUUCAGUUAUACAUAAAUUGCAAAACUUUACUAUGGCAAAACUUGAUUUACUCUAAUGACAUAUGCAAUUUGUAAAACAUAUACAUUUAAUGUUCAGUUUUUGACUAACCGUACCAAGGUCAAAAUAAAAGAAGUAAAUCCAAUAAACAGGUAAAGGUCUGGGAGGCAGCAAAUGAUCACAAAAAAAAAAAAAAAAAAAAAAAAACAAGUCCAAGAUCAAAACUUAGCAAGGCUAGGCAAGACAAACAAGAGAGUGCUCUGAAUUGUCCAAUUACAGCUAAACAAGACUCAGCAAACAGUAGCUGUGUCCCGAACUUAAGUGCAUGGACUCCGAAGUGCGCAUUUGAAGUGCGAAUGCAUCACAGUGGCGCGACGAAGGGUGUCCCAAACUGAAGUGUGUGGACUCCGAAGUGCGGAUGUGAAGUGCGAUUGCGUCACAGCGUCACAGUUUCGAAAGCGACUUCAAAUGCGCCCUUCAUUUCCCAGGAAAAUGAAGUGUACAUCUUAUGGACACUUCGCACCCUACCAUAUCCCAGAAUCACUUGCGUGCAUAUGACGAAGGUGUUUAUAUUCAGAGGCAGGUGAGAGUUCUGUGGAGGACUUCACAUUGAAAUGCAAGGUUUAUUUGUGAAGUGUCCUGAGACAGGUGAGGGAGCGAGUGGACAGGGAGGCCAUCAAACUCAAACAAAUUCAUUCUUCAUUAGCCAAGAGAAAACAGUGGGAAAAAAUGAGUACAUUACAGUUUUUCCAAUACAUUUUUUAAAUGUCAUAUUGUCAAUGAAACAACCUAAUUUCUGUAGUUUAUUUUUGUGACGCAAGUUAAAAAUGAAAUGCAUAAAUUGUAUACAUUAUUCAUUUUUUGUAAUUUAUUCAUAAAUACGCCUGAGUACUUUCUGUACAUUUUGUAUUUUUGUUUUGCAUAUUCACAUGUGUAAAUAAAAGAAAAGUGCUUAUGUACAUUGGUAUUUUUUUUUAUGUAGCUUAUAAUUUUUUCACAAAACAUUCUUUUAUAUGUUUAUUUGUUUGUCCUGUAAAUACUUUUUUACACAUUAAAACAAAUUGUUCUAUACAUAAUAGAAAGUACUUUUUACAACCAUUUACAACAUAGCUUAGGGUUUAACAUCAGAAAAACAACAUCAGUUUGAGCCCAGCCCUGCCUCCGUGUUUUCUGGGGUCUUCAGGAGGUCAGUCUCUUGGUGAAUGGCCAGCACCUCAGAGACUCGGAGGACAGUGUGGUGACAGUGGAACGAGGCACAUGUCAAACACUCUGGAGACCAUCUGUAUGAUGUACCACUAGCAGACAGAAGA
rnacentral:lncRNA from 1 species